rnacentral:rRNA from 1 species
AUGAACGCUGGCGGUGUGCCUAAUACAUGCAAGUCGAACGGGAUCUUCGGAUCUAGUGGCGAACGGGUGAGUAACACGUUGGUACCUACCCCUAAGUGGGGAAUAACUGCCCGAAAGGGUGGCUAAUACCGCAUAAUCCCGCAAGGGUAAAGCAGUAAUGCGCUUAGGGAGGGGCCUGCGUCUGAUUAGCUAGUUGGUAGGGUAAUGGCCUACCAAGGCGACGAUCAGUAGCUGGAUCGAGAGGUGACCAGCCACACUGGGACUGAGACACGGCCCAGACUCCUAC